UGGCUUAUGAUGAUAAACUAAAAUUAUCUUAGCGGAUUUCAGUGAGAUUAAUUUUCAAUGAUCUGAAUGUUACACACGCUGAAGCCU